rnacentral:rRNA from 1 species
CACGUAGUUAGCCGGUGCUUAUUCUUCAGGUACCGUCAUUAGCAAAGGAUAUUAGCCUCCACCGUUUCUUCCCUGACAAAAGAGCUUUACAACCCGAAGGCCUUCUUCACUCACGCGGCAUUGCUGGAUCAGGCUUGCGCCCAUUGUCCAAAAUUUCCCACUGCUGCCUCCCGUAGGAGUCUGGACCGUGUCUCAGUUCCAGUGUGGCUGGUCGUCCUCUCAGACCAGCUACUGAUCGUCGCCUUGGUGAGCCUUUACCUCACCAACUAGCUAAUCAGACGUCGGCCGCUCCAAAAGCAUGAGGUCUUGCGAUCCCCCAUUUCUUCCGUAGAACGUAUGCGGUAUUAGCGUAACUUUCGCUACGUUAUCCCCCAUUCUGGGUACGUUCCGAUGUAUUACUCACCCGUUCGCCACUCGCCACCAGGCCGAAGCCCCGUGCUGCCGUUCGACUUGCAUGUGUAAAGCAUGCCGCAGCGUUCAAUCUGAGCCAGGAUCAAACU